UGAUGAUUCUGGAGCUCAAGGUAGUUGGGC
rnacentral:piRNA from 1 species